GCAGACCAGCGGAGCGUCUUCAUGGUCUCUGCCGCGCUGGAGCUGCUGCGGGGCUGUCCUGCCAGCCUGUGCUCCCGCCCCGAAGCGUCCUCCUCCACUGGCGACACACGCACUGAAGCCCGAGUCUUCCCGCGGGGGAGAUGGAAGGGAGUCAAGGAUGUUGCCAUGUAUGUGCCAUCCCUGCCCUAAGCCAAUAUCAUGAAGAAAUCAAACAAGAGGUGGAAUAAACUGAGCAAUUCAUCACCAUAUUAAGCUGGAUAUUCCUGUUCAGUAAAUAUCUUUCCCUAGCUGUGACGACCAACAAAUGAAACUGUGCACCUUUGAAAGAGACUCUGCAGUUACAGCUCUAAUAUCCCACACACAGGUAUCCUUGCAGCCUGUGAGGGGGAGCAGGUGCAGGCACUAAGCAGAUUCCUGGAAAUCAGUGGCCAGAGGCCAUGUUUUCAGAGAGUAGCUCAGCAGAAGGUCUCUCCACUGACUUCAUGAAGACAGGGGAACUCCUAGGCAAACUCCCUCGUCCUUCCUCUCCCAGGCUGAACAAUGCUGUAUACACUGACCACUCUCUUCUUCUCG